rnacentral:rRNA from 1 species
CCUACGGGGGGCUGCAGUGGGGAAUUUUGCGCAAUGGGCGAAAGCCUGACGCAGCAACGCCGCGUGGAGGAUGAAGGUCUUUGGAUUGUAAACUCCUGUCGGCAGGGAAAAAGGCCUCUGGCCACACCAGAGGAUUGAUUGUACCUGCGGAGGAAGCCCCGGCUAACUCUGUGCCAGCAGCCGCGGUAAUACAGAGGGGGCAAGCGUUAUUCGGAAUUAUUGGGCGUAAAGGGCGCGUAGGCGGUCGGACAAGUGGAAGGUGAAAUCCCCGGGCU